UGUUAAUGUUGUCUCCAUGUGUGUGGAUGCGGAUCUGUUGAUAAGAAAAAAGGGGUUGGUUAGGAAUUGGGGCAGUGGUUCCGGGUGAAGAAUUGGAGCGGUGGGAUGUGAAAUGUGAAUCUAUGGUGUUUCUUUUCGAACCAAUUGUUUUAUAGUUUAAUUUGCAAUUGUUAGGGCGCAAAUCAGCAAUGAUACAGCUGUGAACAUAACCGGAUUGAAAAUAACUUCAUUGUUAUGCAAACUAAAAUUAGAAUGAGACCAUGAUCGAAGAUUAGAACUUUUUUCUCCUUUUAAUGAGUGAAGGAAAAAGGGGAAAAAAGAGAAAAAGUAAAAAGGAAAUUCAAGAGCAUGGAUGUAGGACGAAAAAUUUACUAGUAUCAGGUGCUAUAUGGUUAUAUCUAACUGAACCAGUG
rnacentral:misc_RNA from 1 species